GUAAUUACAUAGGUAUGC
rnacentral:snRNA from 1 species